rnacentral:piRNA from 1 species
UGUGUAUAACCUACAGUUGAAGCGUGU